AUACGUAGGUGACAAGCGUUAUCCGGAUUUACUGGGCGUAAAGGGCGUGUAGGCGGUCUUGCAAGUCAGAAGUGAAAUUCCUGAGCUCAACUCGGGCGCUGCUUCUGAAACUGCAGGACUUGAGUGCUGGAGGGGAUAGCGGAAUUCCUAGUGGAGCGGUAAAAUGCGCAGAUAUUAGGAAGAACACCGGUGGCGAAGGCGGCUAUCUGGACAGUAACUGACGCUGAGGCGCGAAAGCGUUGGGAGCAAACAGGAUUAGAUACCCUGGUAGUCCACGCUGUAAACGAUGAUUACUAGGUGUGGGGGGACUGACCCCUUCCGUGCCGCAGUUAACACAAUAAGUAAUCCACCUGGGGAGUACGGCCGCAAGGUUGAAACUCAAAUGAAUUGACGGGG
rnacentral:rRNA from 1 species